rnacentral:lncRNA from 1 species
GAAUAAAGAGUUACAUUUACGUAUGGUUAGUGUUAAUAUUGACAUGUUUAAAAUUAUGAAAUAAAAAAAAUAAAUGAUCAAGCUUUCUAUUAUAAAAUAGAGUAUAAGCAACAUUUUUUAUAUUAAAAAUAAACAUAUUUAAUGGUAACCAUUCAUGCAAAAUCAUCAAUGAAUUCUCUUAAGGAACAUUUGAAUCCCUUGCUAAUAUUGGAAAUUUAAAAAAAAAAAUUGGAAGAUUUGAGUGAUAAUGAUAAACAAGAACUUACCUAGAAAGAAUUGAUUUAAGUUAGGAACAUUAGAGUGAAGAAAAAAAUCAAAAAAAACAAAAGAUAUAGAAGUUGGGUUUGUGGUGUGUGAAGGAGGAAAAGGAAGGAGAUGGAGGGGUGGUGUAAGGAGAAGGAGGAGGAAGGAGAUGGAAGAGAAGGGUAGAGAGAAAGAGGGAGUAGUUGAAGGAUGAAAAAACUUUAAAAUAAAAAAUUCAAGAUAUUACCAUAUAACACCACCAAAUAAACAUUAAUUUCAAUUUAACACAAGGGCCAACAUUAUGCUAUUUUAUACAAAUUUAAAAUUUAAUUGAGUAAAAAAAAUUGAAUAUUUGCCUUUAAUAUAAGGAUUAAAAUAUUACUUAAUCCAAUUUUUUAGACAACUUAUCAAUAGAUUCGUUAAUAAAAUGAGCGCCAAAAUUUUCAUCAACUCUGAUGAAAUUCUUUUAUAAAUUAAGUAGAGAUGGAUAAGAAUAAGAGAAGAGGAAAAAUAAAUAGGAGGAGAGGAGAAAAGGGAGAAGGAGUUGAAGGCAAUGGUGAUGGAGGAGGGGCGACGACGAUGUAACAAGAAGAUAAUGAUGGAGGUCACGAUGACACCAACGAAGGUGGAGGCAAAGGAGGAAAAAGAGAAAGAUAAGAAAGAAGUGGAGAAGGAGAAGGACGAAUUAGUGGUUGCAGAUACGGCGAUACAAACAAUAACAAAGGAGGAGGGUGAGAGAGGGAAGAAGAAGAAGAAAAGAAUACAAAAAGAGGAGAGAGGAUGAAAAAAAAAACUUAAUCACGGGUUUUUGUACCAUAGUAGGCAAAACUGAGGGAGAUAUUACGAGAAUAGGCAAAAAACAUUUUAAUUACGAAAAUAGGGAAGUCGUGGGGAGUUUAGACGACUUUUAAUGAAGAAGUCGUGUCCCCCCUGCACGACUUCACACUAUUUAUUUGACCAGUGUUGAAGUCGUGCACCCCAAAAACGACUUUAAGGCAUGGCAAUCGAUUACCAUAGACUUGUAAUCGAUUACCAAGCCAUUUCUGACAAAAAAUAAAAAUAAAAACAAAUGAAGUCGUAUGGGGGUUAACGACUUUUCUUAUUAAAG